AAAGAUUAUAGCAAACACCACUGAAACGGAAUUGGUGCUCCCUAGCUUUGCAAAUUCAGCUAUUGUUGGAAGCCAGCCAAUAUGAAACAAACUAUUAAAAUUACAAAAGGUUGCAGCAUAUGUUGUGUAAAUGGUGAACUCAUACAGCUGUCAACUCUUGUCAUUUUAAUCCGUUUCACAUUUGCUAGCUACCUUUUAGAUCGAAGCCCAAAUAGAAUGAUAGAAGAUAAGAUGAUAGAAGCCCAUCUCCUACUGUAAAUAACCUACACGCUGUGUGUGUGUGUAGCCAGCCAGCCAGGUAGAAAAAUGGCAGAAAAAAAAAAAAGACGGACAUCAGAGUAUUUUUCAGUACACCAAAACGCAAAGCAGAGCAGGCAACAGAUGGCAAACAGACAGCAGAGUUGGGGACAGAUAUGCAGGGACAGACUGGCAGAGACAGGGAGUCUCAGUGCCCCCCAGAGUUUCACAGCAAACAUGCCGGAGUCACUGCCAGAAUCUGUGACGGUUCAUCCAGGAGCACCUGUGUCUUCACUGACAGAUUGAUGACUUCAAUCAGUAACACCAAAACUCGCUAUAGCUCGAUUGAAAUUCAAAGGCAAUGUUCUCGAAGACUGGAAAUGACCUUUACAUUUCAAGCGCGCUAUUUUCAGCAAUCACAAUCCUUGUAAAAACGUCAACUCAUGGUAUAACUAAUAACGUUUUUUUACAUUUUAUUAUGUCAGUGUGGUUAUAAGCCGCUAUAGCUCUGAAGUUCGAGUGUGUGUGUGUGUGUGUGUUGUAGUAGUAGGCCAUUAUUUCUUCGAACAUCUCAGUUUGG
rnacentral:lncRNA from 1 species